UACGUAGGGUGCGAGCGUUGUCCGGAAUUAUUGGGCGUAAAGGGCUCGUAGGCGGUUUGUCGCGUCGGGAGUGAAAACCUCGGGCUUAACUCGGGGCUUGCUUUCGAUACGGGCAGACUAGAGGUAUGCAGGGGAGAACGGAAUUCCUGGUGUAGCGGUGGAAAUGAUGCAGAUAUCAGGAGGAACACCGGUGGCGAAGGCGGUUCUCUGGGCAUGAUCUGACGCUGAGGAGCGAAAAGUGUGGGGAGCGAACAGG
rnacentral:rRNA from 1 species